rnacentral:rRNA from 1 species
GGACGAACGCUGGCGGCGUGCUUAACACAUGCAAGUCGAGCGAUGAAGCUUCUUCGGAAGUGGAUUAGCGGCGGACGGGUGAGUAACACGUGGGUAACCUGCCUCAUAGAGGGGAAUAGCCUUCCGAAAGGAAGAUUAAUACCGCAUAAGAUUGUAAUAUCGCAUGAUAUAGCAAUUAAAGGAGUAAUCCGCUAUGAGAUGGACCCGCGUCGCAUUAGCUAGUUGGUGAGGUAACGGCUCACCAAGGCGACGAUGCGUAGCCGACCUGAGAGGGUGAUCGGCCACAUUGGGACUGAGACACGGCCCAGACUCCUACGGGAGGCAGCAGUGGGGAAUAUUGCACAAUGGGGGAAACCCUGAUGCAGCCAACGCCGCGUGAGUGAUGACGGUCUUCGGAUUGUAAAGCUCUGUCUUCAGGGACGAUAAUGACGGUACCUGAGGAGGAAGCCACGGCUAACUACGUGCCAGCAGCCGC